rnacentral:rRNA from 1 species
AUUGAACGCUGGCGACAGGCCUAACACAUGCAAGUCGAGCGCGAAAGUCUUCGGAUGAGUAAAGCGGCGAACGGGUGAGUAAUGCAUGGGAAUCUGCCUGGUAGUGGGGGACAACGUCUCGAAAGGGACGCUAAUACCGCAUACGCCUACGGGGAAAGGGGGGAGUCUUCGGACCUCUCGCUAUCAGAUGAGCCCAUGUCAGAUUAGCUAGUUGGUGAGGUAAAGGCUCACCAAGGCGACGAUCUGUAACUGGUCUGAGAGGAUGAUCAGUCACACUGGAACUGAGACACGGUCCAGACUCCUACGGGAGGCAGCAGUGGGGGAAUAUUGGACAAUGGGGGCAACCCUGAUCCAGCCAUGCCGCGUGUGUGAAGAAGGCCCUAGGGUUGUAAAGCACUUUCAGUGGGAGAAAGGUAGUUCACCUAAUACGUGAGUAGAUUGAUGUUACCACAG